UGGGGACUAUUGCACAAUGGGGGAAACCCUGAUGCAGCGACGCCGCGUGAACGAAGAAGGUAUUCGUAUCGUAACGUUCUGUCCUAUGUGAAGAUAAUGACAGUACCAUAGAAGAAAGCUCCGGCUAAUUACGUGCCAGCAGCCGCGGUAAUACGUAUGGAGCGAGCGUUGUCCGGAAUUAUUGGGCGUAAAGGGUACGCAGGCGGUUUAAUAAGUCGAAUGUUAAAGAUCGGGGCUCAACCCCGCAAAGCAUUGGAAACUGAUAAACUUGAGUAGUGGAGAGGAAAAUGGAAUUCCUAGUGUAGUGGUGAAAUACGUAGAUAUUAGGAGGAAUACCAGGAGCGAAGGCGACUUUCUGGACACAAACUGACGCUGAGGUACGAAAGCGUGGGGAGCAAACAGG
rnacentral:rRNA from 1 species